GACGAACGCUGGCGGCGUGCCUAAUACAUGCAAGUCGAGCGAACAGACGAGGAGCUUGUUCCUCUGACGUUAGCGGCGGACGGGUGAGUAACACGUGGAUAACCUACCUAUAAGACUGGGAUAACUUCGGGAAACCGGAGCUAAUACCGGAUAAUAUAUUGAACCGCAUGGUUCAAUAGUGAAAGACGGUUUUGCUGUCACUUAUAGAUGGAUCUGCGCCGCAUUAGCUAGUUGGUAAGGUCACGGCUUACCAAGGCGACGAUGCGUAGCCGACCUGAGAGGGUGAUCGGCCACACUGGAACUGAGACACGGUCCAGACGCCUGCGGGAGGCAGCAGUAGGGAAUCUGCCGCAAUGGGCGAAAGCCUGACGGAACAACGCCGCGUGAGUGAUGAAGGUCUUCGGAUCGUAAAACUCUGUUAUUAGGGAAGAACAAAUGUGUAAGUAACUAUGCACGUCUUGACGGUACCUAAUCAGAAAGCCACGGCUAACUACGUG
rnacentral:rRNA from 1 species